UACGUAGGGCGCAAGCGUUGUCCGGAAUUAUUGGGCGUAAAGAGCUCGUAGGCGGUUUGUCGCGUCUGCUGUGAAAACUCGAGGCUCAACCUCGGGCUUGCAGUGGGUACGGGCAGACUAGAGUGCGGUAGGGGAGACUGGAAUUCCUGGUGUAGCGGUGGAAUGCGCAGAUAUCAGGAGGAACACCGGUGGCGAAGGCGGAUCUCUGGGCCAUUACUGACGCUGAGGAGCGAAAGCGUGGGGAGCGAACAGG
rnacentral:rRNA from 1 species